rnacentral:tRNA from 1 species
AACGAGGUAGUUCAAAUUGGUUAGAACUUCAGAAUCAUAAUCUGAAAGUUAUAGGUUCGAAUCCUAUUCUCGUUA